GCACAUAUUUUUUGGAGCUUAGUUUCUCCAGAAUUUUGCAAAAUUUAUUCAAAAGGUACCCAUGAAAUUCUGCUCUUGCUAAUAAUUGAGGGAAGAGGAGUUUAUGGUUUAGUUGUUUGUCUCUUAGCAUAUGCUGUAGCUACAAUCACAGAAUUGUACGGAAAAUUCCUUCAUUGAUCUAAACUGGACUAAAAAUGAGCACCAAGGAACUAGAGACAUACCUAUCUGAUGUUGGAAGCUCAAAUCAGUUCGAGACAAACAGUUCAAAAUAUGUCUCUCAUGUCAAGAAGUUACUAUAUCGACGAAUGCUGGUUGGUAUAAGUGAUGGA
rnacentral:misc_RNA from 1 species